UACGUAGGUGGCGAGCGUUUGUCCGGAUUUAUUGGGUUUAAAGGGUGCGUAGGCGGCUUUGUAAGUCAGUGGUGAAAUACUCCAGCUUAACUGGAGGGGUGCCAUUGAUACUGCGGAGCUUGAGUACAGAUGAGGUAGGCGGAAUUGACGGUGUAGCGGUGAAAUGCAUAGAUAUCGUCAAGAACACCGAUAGCGAAGGCAGCUUACUGGGCUGUAACUGACGCUGAUGCACGAAAAGUGUGGGGAUCAAACAGG
rnacentral:rRNA from 1 species